GAUUAAAUAUAGAAAAUUGUUUAGGUGCUUGGAUUUAUAGCAAAGAUAUUUAGGCUCUAAUGGUCAAAGAAAUGUCACUGGGAAUUCAAUAUAUCUGUGUUCUUGCAGAUCUAGGCCACAGUCCCUGUCCCAGGGGGAUUUUAGUCCCACUAGAUACUUCUCUGCUAUCAGAAAUGAAGAACCAGCAUAAAUGAUGAUUGGAUUUUCCUUUGAUCCUUCCCCUGCUUGGCAUUCUCUUCCUUUGAUAAGGUGCCAAUCACUCCCAACCCCUCCCCCUGUUCCUUUUUUUGCCAGGCCACACAGAGGAAGUACAAGAGGUACUUGCAGUGAUUGGAGUGGGCUGAUUAACCUUCACAGCCCUCGGUGCCCCAGAUUUCACCAGCUUACUGAUCUAUAUCUAGGUCAGCUUCAUAAAGCAUCAUUUCUGUUCUAGGGCUUCAUAAAGUAUCAUUUCUGUUUUAGUCUUCAGCAGGGAAGACAGGUGGAGGGGGCUGGCUGAUAAAUGGUGAGACUGCAUGGGUCUCCAAGUGAAGUGUUAGUCUGUGGCUUUUACUUAGUGCCUUAAAACUGUUUGCAAAGACAUGUGAAUUGAAGUAAGCCAUGUGUAAGAGACUGAGAUGUUAAUGGCUUAAACUUUGUAAAUCAUUAAAGGACUUUUUCCCCACCAUGGCAAACUGCAAAGACACAGCUGAAUAUCUGUGAGCACUCAAGCCCACCCCUCCCCAAAUAUGCCCAAUACCUGGAAUUUGGAUUGUUAUGGGAACUGUGAUAAGGUGAAGGGGUACUACUGUCCAGUUGUCCCAGGUCUAGGGAGGAGAAUGUAUCCACAAGUGAUACAGGAAGAGAGACUGGAAUGCUGGUGGUUCAGAUAUUCAGGGGGAAGCUGCAGAAGUGCAGGGGCACAGAGGGUGAGCACAGCCCUCCUCAGGCUCCAGCUGCUGCUGAAUGAGGGAAGUACCAGAACACUCCCAGGUAGCCUGGAGGUGUCUGUCUCUGCUGAUGGGCCACCAUGGGCCACAAUGGACACAGCUGGCCUGGUGUAAUAGGCAGCUGUAUCUCCUUGGAAGGUGUCAAAGACUCCCGAAAUGUCCUGAGAUCCACAACAUUACAUCACUCAGCUGGAACUCCCUCCUCCAGGGCAGGUAUCUGGGCAUUCCUAUUUGAGCCUGAGUGAAUAUAAACCAGAGUUUGUAUUCUGGGGGUUCCCUCACCACCUGACGGAUCCAGUCUGUGACUGUCACUUUGACUAAGGCUGUGACCAUCACUUUGACCAGCAAACAUUGAAAUGGCAGCAGCUGAGCCUCUUUACAAUGCCUGUGGGUGGUGAGAUUUUUCUACUCUUAUAAUUUCUUUCUCUCUCUUAUUCAUUUUCUCAAGUGAUAUUUGCAUGCUUUUAUAUUGUUAUAUUACUGUAGAGAACAGCAAUCAAAAUGCCUCCAUACCUGUUUUCCUGUGCAACCAAACUGUUCUACAAUAAACCCUACAUAUGUAUAGUUACAAGCACUGAUCAUCCAGUUUGUUUCACUCUAAUCCACUCCAAGUGAGUCAGACAUUGAGCUAUACUGAUGGUAUGGGCUAAAAGUCUUCAAAAUUAAUUGCUUUAAGGGGUCAAUGGUCCUUUAAAGGUGUGGGGGCUUGGCUGCUGCUGGGGAAGGCAGAAAGUGAAGAAAAGCAGGUAGAGUCUAAUGACAAAUUGUUUGCUGCUCUGCUAAUCAUGAAAUAAGGAAUUUAAAUUGAAGUCUCAGCAGCUGUGAGGUCAGACCUGGCUGCAAUUUACAACCUCUGCCAUAAGGGUGACAGGGAGGGAGAUGGAGUUGGGUGAAGAAGAAGAAGCAAGCA